CAACUAAGGGGAGCCAGCUGCCUGUAGUGGGCAGGGCCUGGCCCUUAUAAAGCUCAGGGCUGAGGUCAAGCUAGCAGUCCCCUGUCAGCAGCUGGAGAGGCAGGAGCUCCCUUGGCUGAGAGAUGGGUAGAAGCCUGAUGGCCAGUACAGCUCAUGAGAGCUCUGAAGCCAUACAUUCUUGACUGAUUUCAAGAAGAUAACAUGAUAAAUGUGACUUCUGGAGGAAUGUGACAGAGAAGUAUGGAGUAGAACAUAUCAAGGGGAACAAAGGUUGAAGAUGCUGAACAGUCAAUUGAAUCACACCAACUGAAGUAAUCAUAGGGAUUCCGGCCCAAAAGCCAAACUGAACGUGGGAUAAUCCCAUGAUUCCACCCUAAGAGGGAGGUGACAGCUUGAAGCAUGAGGAGAGGUACACUUGAAGAGACCAAAAGGGCUCAGAGGUGCACUUUGUCCAGCGAUUGAGAGACACACUGGAAAAUUUUUCACCCACUAUGUGCCCUUUCCUGCCAGAGGCAGUCAAGCUAGUGGAUUUUUCAGUUUAAGUACCCAUAUGCCACAAAACAGUAUCAGUGCAUUCCCAUAGACAUAGUCUUUUGUGUGCUAUUUUUGAUUUGCGCUAUCAGUCAUACUUUCACAGUACCAGAGAGAGCGUUCAAGAGACCUGGAGAGGAAUAUAUGAAUCACAAUCUACUGUAUGCAGCCUGCAAAAGCCAGCCAGGACAAAGCUGAACAACAAGAUUAGUUAUUAUCCCUUCCUACUGCCCCAAACAGCACUGAUGGACAGCAAAGUGAAAGCCAUUAAACACUACUCACUGCUUCCUAACUUUAAAACAAUAUAAACAAAAAUAAAUAAGCUUGCAGGAAAUGGAAAGCAUGAAGUACAAGACAUCAGGUAGGGUAGGAAAUAUCUGCUAGGGAUAAACUGCGAGUAAAAGCCAAAGAUGACUAUAGAAAUUAUAACCCUUUGUGUCACUAACAGUAAAGUCCAAUUUUAUAAUUUGUUCUCAGUAAGUUUAAAGGCACCAAUUUAGAGAGGGAAGAACUGGACCCAUAAGUUCUACUAUUUUGAGCUAGCACGUGAAGGCUUAAUUGCUAAACACAGAACAUUUCAAACCAAAAGCAUGGAGCUAUCUAUGUAGGUGCCAAGAUGCAUUUGCUAUUUUCUACCACUUUAACUGUAAAUAGAAUGGAGCCAGAACUCCCUUAACAAUCCUGUAUUCCACUCUACUUCCAACUCCAGGAUUGCCUUUGUAACUAGAGUCUCCCUGCCUAUCAUCAACAACAUUUGUGUAUUAAUUCCAUUGUAUCCUGAAGAACUGGGGUAUAUGGGGGGGGGGAGGAGGGUGUUACUCCUAACUGGACCAGUAGAGGGGAAAAUAAAAAUUGUCAGUCAGUACUGGUGAAGAAGGAAAGGAGGAAAAUAAUCUUUAAAAAAAAAUUCCCAAAAAUUUUCAGACAGAUUUUCAGUCUUUGGUGUCUAGUUCCAGGCUUGAUGAGAAUAACUUAAUAGGAAGCCAUGAUGUUGUCAGCCUGUAGUCCCCAAUGACACCUCCCCUCUUGCUGCAGACAGUGUACUGAAAGUAAAUGAAUGUGAAUAGAGUAAACUAGCAAACCCUGUCAUAUCAGCGAAAGAAACAGCACAUUGAUCCAUUGACAUCCACUCUUCAUCAGUGCACUGUCUGCAGAAAUCCUCCCAGACACACAACUGGAGAGACAGUGGGGAUUAGAUACUGCAGUGAUAAGCACAGAAUAGCCAGAUUAGAUAAACCAUUGAUCAAUGGAAGAAGUGCUGCUUCUCUCCCAUACAAAGUCCUGAUAUCAGACUGAAUGGGGUCAUGGAAUUCUGUGGACUCCAGAAACCACUGGAGCUACUUCACCAUAAACUUCACAGUCAUUUUUCCCCAGCACAGUAUAUGCAGCACAGACAUAUAAACUGGAAGACUGGACAAAACACACCUUCACUACACACUAGCAACACAUUAGUUACUCUGUUUCUGCCCAGGGUCUUGGUGCAGUCAUGCAACGGAACUGGGUGAUCUCUCCCUAUGCAAGUUCAUUCUUGGUAAUGAACAUAUUUCAAACAUAGGGCCCUCUGUAUCAAGCCAUAAGAUAUAACAGCACUGGUUUUUCACUGCUUUAAAAUAUUAGGUCUGAUUCUUUUCUUACACUAGUAUAAGCCACAAGUAACCAUAUGUAAAUCAAUGCAGUUACAUGGCUGUGAAACCAGUUAGGUAAAAAGAAAAUCAAACCCAUUAGUUUUACCUGCAAUAAUUACCGUUAUAUUUAAACUGCAAUAGUUACUGACAGAAGAGACAUAAUAAAAAGGCCAGGCUGAGUCCUAUAUUUGUGCUUUUUCAAUACUUUCAGUAUUGAUUUAGUUUACAAGUUUAAAUAUAUAUUUUUCUAGCUGUUAGCACUGCCAACUUGGCAUGCAAUAUGAAGUGUAAAUCUACAUUCUUCCUGCCUCUCACAUCACUGCCAGUUCCAAAGCCUCUAUAGUCAGAACUGAGCUGACAACCUGGGAAAUGGUGCAUAAGGCAGAAGAACAAACCCCACCUCACUCCUUUAGAUUGGUACUUGCUCUACAAAGUGAAUACAGGCAAAGGUGGGUUUAUUCCUGAGCAAAUAGACUAGAUGUACAGGGAGCAGGAGUAGUCUUAUUUGAUGUGUGUACCAUAUUAAAUGCCACAGGGCUUCAUCAUUUCUCAAGUUUGCUAAGUUAGUGCUUGGCAAUUUCUGGGGGGAAGAGGACAAAUGUUCAACUGGCUAAAAAAAAUGCAACUUCAAUUUAACUAAAACUACUCCUGGAUUUGCAUCAGAUUUGCCAAACUGUUCCAUCUGAAACAAAUGAGGGAAAAUUAGACAAGUCUAAAUGUUUCAUUUCAAUAUUUUCAAAGUAACCACUUCAAAUUUUCAUUUAAAAAUGAAGUUUCAUUUGUAAAUUUACCUGCAUUUAAUUAAAAAAAAACCAACCCUCUCAGCCUCAGCCCCUGCCCUGAAAAGGAAAGGUUUUGUUCUGAGUUUAACUAAAUGCUUUGGUAGACUCAAAACAUUUUUUUUUUAUUUCACUAAGAAAAUCAAUAUAAUUUUGGAUGGCCAGCAAAUAGAAAAAAAUGAAUUAUUUGCACAGUUGUCCUGGAGCUGCAACCAUAAAACAAACCAAUAAAUUAAUACACCCAUAAUAACAAUGACAGGUAAGACAGAGUAGGCUUUAUUUUGAGAGAGGUACUUUAACCCCUCCCUGAAAAAAAUCUUUGAAAUUUUCAAAGCACCAAAGGAUUUAGCCAUACAACUCCCAUUAAUGUCAAUGAAAUCCACUUGGCUAAAGCCCCAAUCCCCUCCUCCCCCCCCAAAAAGGGAAUAACAUUUUCACAUGGUCACAACACUUGUGACCAUGGGUAGAUCCAAGGGGCAUGCAGUGGUUCAGCUGCAUCCUCCUUUAGAUUCCUGCUCCAACCAAAUUUUAAAACCAACUGCCCAGAAGGGAGAGCAGCAUUUCCAUUCAGGCAGCACUGGGGGAAUCAACUGACUUCAUGGCUCAGUCAUUAUAAUGUACCUGAUUUCUGCUGAUCUCUUUUCACUCCUCAGAUGUUAACAAGCAUGUGCCCUUUUUAAUGGUCUUAACGUUCCAUUAAUCAAGCUAUCAUUUCUUCUGUAAUUUUGUUGUCUGUUAGCCAUUCCUGGUAAUAUCUCACUUCUUUUUCCCAGGC